ACGCUCGACACCUACGGGGGCAGCAGUCGGGAAUAUUGCGCAAUGGAGGGAACUCUGACGCAGUGACGCCGCGUAUAGGAAGAAGGUUUUCGGAUUGUAAACUAUUUUAGACAGGGAAGAAUAAAGACAGUACCUGUAGAAUAAGCUCCGGCUAACUACGUGCCAACAGCCGCGGUAAUCUGAGCGGGCUGGCAAGGC
rnacentral:rRNA from 1 species